UUAGCUAAGACCUGAUGAGCCAACAUGGAAGUAACCAAAGGGUUGAUGACCUACCAAUGAGGUCUUAACCAGGACCCAAACCACACAUGCUUACUCCUGCUCUAUGGUCUCCCGUUGCUCACCAGCUCUCCUGAUGGCUAACAGACUAGCUAGUGGGAUUUAUGCAAAGCCUUUGCCGCAUACAAACGUCGAGUGGUUUUACGAUAAAUUGGGUUAGGCAAGAUGACACAUCAACUCGGUUCUUAACCAAGACAAGAUGGAUAUCUCCCAACCUACUCAACCACUAAGGUACCAGCCCAACUUGGCAUUUCACAUAAGAAACACCCAUCCG
rnacentral:lncRNA from 1 species